rnacentral:RNase_P_RNA from 5 species
GAAGCUGACCAGACAGUCGCCGCUUCGUCGUCGUCCUUUCGGGGAGACGGGCGGAGGGGAGGAAAGUCCGGGCUCCAUAGGGCAGGGUGCCAGGUAACGCCUGGGGGGGGAAACCCACGACCAGUGCAACAGAGAGCAAACCGCCGAUGGCCCACGCAAGUGGGAUCAGGUAAGGGUGAAAGGGUGCGGUAAGAGCGCACCGCGCGGCUGGUAACAGUCCGUGGCACGGUAAACUCCACCCGGAGCAAGGCCAAAUAGGGGUUCAUAAGGUACGGCCCGUACUGAACCCGGGUAGGCUGCUUGAGCCAGUGAGCGAUUGCUGGCCUAGAUGAAUGACUGUCCACGACAGAACCCGGCUUAUCGGUCAGUUUCACCU